rnacentral:rRNA from 1 species
ACCUGCCCCCAUAGUCUGGGGAUACCACUUGGGAAACAGGUGCUAAUACCGGAUAAGAAAGCAGAUCGCAUGAUCAGCUUUUAAAAGGCGGCGUAAAGCUGUCGCUAUGGGGAUGGCCCCCGCGGUGCAUUAGCUAGUUGGUAAGGUAAAGGCUUACCAAGGCGAUGAUGCAUAGCCGAGUUGAGAGACUGAUCGGCCACAUUGGGACUGAGACACGGCCCAAACUCCUACGGGAGGCAGCAGUAGGGAAUCUUCCACAAUGGACGCAAGUCUGAUGGAGCAACGCCGCGUGAGUGAAGAAGGUUUUCGGAUCGUAAAAGCUCUGUUGUUGGUGAAGAAGGAUAGAGGUAGUAACUGGCCUUUAUUUGACGGUAAUCAACCAGAAAGUCACGGCUAACUACGUGCCAGCAGCCGCGGGUAAAU